rnacentral:rRNA from 1 species
UACGUAGGGUGUAAGCGUUGUCCGGAAUUAUUGGGCGUAAAGAGCUUGUAGGCGGUUUGUCGCGUCUGCUGUGAAAUUUCGGGGCUCAACCCCGAACUUGCAGUGGGUACGGGCAGACUAGAGUGUGGUAGGGGAGACUGGAAUUCCUGGUGUAGCGGUGAAAUGCGCAGAUAUCAGGAGGAACACCGAUGGCGAAGGCAGGUCUCUGGACAGUUCCUGACGCUGAGGCACGAAGGCCAGGGGAGCAAACGGG